rnacentral:tRNA from 1 species
ACCGAGGUGGUGGAAUUGGUAUACACGCUACUUUGAGGUGGUAGUGCCCAGUUUGGGUGUGCGGGUUCAAAUCCUGUCCUCGGUA